CCUACGGGGGGCUGCAGUGGGGAAUAUUGGACAAUGGGGGCAACCCUGAUCCAGCCAUGCCGCGUGUGUGAAGAAGGCCCUCGGGUUGUAAAGCACUUUCAGUGAGGAAGAACGCCUGGUGGUUAAUACCCAUCAGGAAAGACAUCACUCACAGAAGAAGCACCGGCUAACUCCGUGCCAGCAGCCGCGGUAAUACGGAGGGUGCGAGCGUUAAUCGGAAUUACUGGGCGUAAAGCGCGCGUAGGUGGCUUGAUAAGCCGGUUGUGAAAGCCCCGGGCUCAACCUGGGAACGGCAUCCGGAACUGUCAAGCUAGAGUGAAGGAGAGGAAGGUAGAAUUCCCGGUGUAGCGGUGAAAUGCGUAGAGAUCGGGAGGAAUACCAGUGGCGAAGGCGGCCUUCUGGACUGACACUGACACUGAGGUGCGAAAGCGUGGGUAGCAAACAGGAUUAGAUACCCCGGUAGUC
rnacentral:rRNA from 1 species